rnacentral:pre_miRNA from 11 species
UGGCCAGUUUCAAGUAAUCCAGGAUAGGCUGUGGGUACUGAUGUCAGCCUGUUCUUGAUUACUUGGCCUUGGAGG